GGGGUCAUAGCUCAGUUGGGAGAGCACCUGCCUUGCACGCAGGGGGUCGGGAGUUCGAAUCUCCCUGACUCCA
rnacentral:tRNA from 1 species